UCUCUCUCUCUCUCAAAUUUCCAUUCUUCCCAUUUAUACUGAAUGAUCUCCAGAGAUUUAAAUUACCAUCAGUAAAUCCAUGCUUUCCAUCUAUUUCCUAAUGU